UUAGUGACCUUAGAUGAAUCAUAAACUACGUGUUCUUUGAGGAGAAAGGGUGCAUGUCUGUCAAAAGGUCAACUGGACGCAAAAAAAUUAGAAAAAGAAUUGGUAUGGAAAUGAUAUCAAGAUGAGAUUUUUGAAAAACUGCAGGAAUAUAUGUACUUGCUGAAAGACUUUGUUUUGACACUUUAAAUGAUGUUUGAUUAGCCGCUUCGACGUGCCGGCACUUCAGCAUCACCGACGAAAAAAUUCACAAAG